UCAACCUUUUCUACCGACGCCAACGUUGGC
rnacentral:sRNA from 1 species